AGAUUGAUUGCCCGACGAAGCAUUUUUACUUUCUCAAUUAAUCCCGGGUAUGAUCGUCAUAAAUCCAGGAGGGGGAGUAAUGGGAUGUGAGCAGACCUCGAUCCCUUCUCACUGUGGGUUGGAGGGGGGGAGGUAAUGGAUAGAGACAUCUUCCCUAGGAAGGGGCUGAGGGAGGUGGGCAGCGAGAUGGGUUUCUGGAGAGGAAGAUAGAUGUUGGGGCCAGCGUUGGCUUUUUCCUCAAUGGAGAACAGAUUUCUGCCAUCAAUCCACAUUAAGAAGCCUUCAUGGCCGCAUAGAAACCCAAUGAGGGUAAUUCAAUUAGCCCCGCAUGCUUCUUUUAAGAUGGGUUUUGAUAAUGGAGGGCUGCUUGGCCUGAAGUUCGCACUGAAUCUACUCUCUGCUUCCUUUAUAUAUAUAUAGGAAAUCUCUUUUAAUUAAGAGUCACUGUGGUUCAUCAGACACCUCCUCCCCACGCCAAGGAGUUGUCCCAAACCACACCAAAGGUUGCCAGCCAACAAAUCCUGGUGUGGUGACACCUCCAUGUGCUCAGCCCAUCACCAAGACAGGCCGUGGAUGCUCCAUCCCUGGAGGUGUUAUGAGCAGUCGCUCGGCCAAUGGCUCCAGAAGAGCCAGAGAGCAGGAAGGCUCAGCCAGCUCCUUUCUACCCACUGUCUGUGCUAGACCUACAUCGGUUCCUCUACCCAAUGCCUAUGAGUUUGAACUGUUCCACUUAAAGGAAAGGGGCAAACCCACCCCCAAAAGCUUGCACAUCCAUUUUUUUCUCUCUGGAGCAGAUGGUGGGGUGGGGCUGGGAGGGAGGGAGCAAACAGAAUAGAGUCCAAACACAGCAUCCAUAAUGCUUCCCAUCUCUCUCCCCUUUGUGAGGUUUGGGAGGAGAACGUCGUCGCCGCUGCUUUCUCCCACCUCAAGCUGAGGUUGUUGCUGUGAUUUAGAGGACCGUCGUGCAAAGAGUUAAUUGGAAUAGCAAAAACAAUCUGCUGGGGGCUGAAAUGUAUUUAGCUGGUGGGUAACAGGAGCUGAAUGGCACGGAGUCCUUUAUGCUAUGCAGAGGUUGGGAUCCCAGGGCCAUAUGGGGGGGCAAAGGGGGAGGGUGG
rnacentral:lncRNA from 1 species